GCGAAGGUGGCGGAAUUGGCAGACGCACUGGAUUUAGGUUCCAGCGCGGUAACGCGUGUGGGUUCGAGUCCCACCCUUCGCA
rnacentral:tRNA from 1 species